AAAACCUUUACCAUCCACUUACCUUGGUGGAAUUUAUGAAAACAAUAUGAGAAAAACAAUAACAUCAUCAUAAUCAUUGAAUAAUCUAAGCUGUAAAACAUAACACUUAUCACGCCUCUUGUAAUUCAAUCAUUGUACAACAUAUCCUUUUUUCUCAUUUACCAGCCUACUAGUAUCCGUGGGGGUCCAUAGGGGUUCCGCUACCCGUUAACCUUUAACAUUCAUAAUCAGUUUCCAGGGCCGUCCCCAUACCCCGUCCGGUAUGGGCGCCAAAACCAUGAACCUCAAUACCCCGUCCGGUAUGAGGGUGAAACGGGCCGUCCUCAUACCCCGUCCGGUAUGGGCGCCAAAACCAUAAACCUCAAUACCCCGUCCGGUAUGAGGGUGAAACGGGCCGUCCCCAUACCCCGUCCGGUAUGGGCGCCAAAACCAUAAGAUCUCCAUACCCCGUCCGGCAUGUGAGACCACAAUCCCGGUAGGGUUCCCUACGGACCCGGUCCGUCCACCAUCUCCCAGGAUAUCUAGUCAGGCUGACCCCCAUAAUACAAUUAUCAGUCUAUACAAUCUUUCAUUUUCCUUUUCCUCAAUCAACAUCAUCAAUUCACAUUUAAACAAGCAAAUCGUAAUUCAUACCAACAGACAACAUACAAUAUCAGUUUUUCAGUCAUUCAACCCAUAAUUAAUAAAAACGUAGUACAUGCACACAAAUCUGUAAAAUGAACACAUCAAACCUCACUUUGCAUUUAAAGCUGUAAACAGGUCAAAUAACAGUACAUCAUCAAUCACACUAGACUCAGGCUCCAUUAGCAACCUUAAGCAAUUUCACACAUGCGUUAAUUCAAGAAAUACCGUUUUAUCAUUUUGAACUUUAAUACCGUGAUAGGAAAUAGGGUGAGGGGUCCUUACUUGUUUUCGGGAUCCGAAUACGAUUCACAGUGCGCCUGCAGGCUGUCCCUAAUUUUCUCUGAAUUUUUCGCGGGGAACUGAAACACACUAACAGUACCUGCACGUGUUCCAAAAAAAAUCCAAAUUAGGCCCAGGGCCUCUUUCGGCCCAAAUCGCAACUCCGGCACGGCGGCUCUGCCGUGCUCCGGCGACGGCGCCGCUGCUGGCGGCGGCGAGUCGCCUCGGGUUGACUGUUUUCGGCCGAAUUUGGCCACUCUCGCAUUGGUCCUUGUCAGAAAACAACCCUAGGGCCCUCGGGGGGCCAAAAAAUCACGGAAAAGCGGAGCUUACCGGCGGCGGCGCUCUCGGGUACGGCGACUCUCCGGCGAGGUUCGUGUUUUGGUGAUUUGGCUUUGGUCAACCUGUAGAGAAAAGAAUGGUGAUCACGGUGAUAUAAAAAUUGCAUCGAACGGAGGCCGGGAAGGGCCUCGUCGGAGGCAAAAACCGAGAGGGGGCGCGGCGGCGCCGCUGGGCUUCAGCAGCGUAUUCCGGCCGUUUGGCCGGGAUUUCGGCUUCGAUUUGGCCAUAGGAGGAAUCAGUGGGGAAGAACGAGUCGGGGGUAUGAAAUUUACCUCGAUCGGCGGUCGGAAAUUUCCCCGGUGCGGCGGCGAGUGGCGGCGGGUGGCGGCGGUCGGCCUCUGGUUCGUCUUCUCCGGCGAGCGGCUGGCGGCUAGGGUUUGUGGUCUGGUGUGGGGGUUCUAUUUAUAACCCCUUGCCUUUUGAUCACAGCCGUUCAUUUCGUUUUAAUCUGGGCCGUUCGUUUUUGAUUGAAUCUGGGCCGUCCGUGCGUUUGAAUCUGGGCCGUCCGAUCGCGCGAUUGAUCUGGGCCAUCGGAUCGCACCCACGCGGAUCGCCAACGUGGCUCCUUUCGGAGUGACGCGAUCUUGCCACGUGGCAGGCCCUGGUUGGCCGGGACUGCUGACCGG
rnacentral:lncRNA from 1 species